rnacentral:rRNA from 1 species
GACGAACGCUGGCGGCGUGCUUAACACAUGCAAGUCGAGCGGUAAGGCCCUUUCGGGGGUACACGAGCGGCGAACGGGUGAGUAACACGUGGGUGACCUGCCCUCAGCUCUGGGAUAAGCCUGGGAAACCGGGUCUAAUACUGGAUAUGACUCCAUGACGCAUGUUGUGGGGUGGAAAGCCUUGUGCGGCUGAGGAUGGGCCCGCGGCCUAUCAGCUUGUUGGUGGGGUGAGGCCUACCAAGGCGACGACGGGUAGCCGGCCUGAGAGGGCGACCGGCCACACUGGGACUGAGACACGGCCCAGACUCCUACGGGAGGCAGCAGUGGGGAAGUCUUGCGCAAUGGGCGAAAGCCUGACGCAGCGACGCCGCGUGAGGGAUGAC